UACGAAGGGGGCUAGCGUUGUUCGGAAUUACUGGGCGUAAAGCGCACGUAGGCGGAUCGAUCAGUCAGGGGUGAAAUCCCAGGGCUCAACCCUGGAACUGCCUUUGAUACUGUCGAUCUGGAGUAUGGAAGAGGUGAGUGGAAUUCCGAGUGUAGAGGUGAAAUUCGUAGAUAUUGGGAGGAACACCAGUGGCGAAGGCGGCUCACUGGACCGGUACUGACGCUGAGGCGCGAAAGCGUGGGGAGCAAACAGG
rnacentral:rRNA from 1 species